AUCUAGCUGACGAGUCCUAAAUAGAACGAAAUAUGUGUCUUAAAU
rnacentral:hammerhead_ribozyme from 1 species